rnacentral:rRNA from 1 species
ACGAACGCUGGCGGCGUGCUUAACACCUGCAAGUCGAACGGAAAGGCCCUGCUUUUGUGGGGUGCUCGAGUGGCGAACGGGUGAGUAACACGUGAGUAACCUGCCCUUGACUUUGGGAUAACUUCAGGAAACUGGGGCUAAUACCGGAUAGGAGCUCCUGCUGCAUGGUGGGGGUUGGAAAGUUUCGGCGGUUGGGGAUGGACUCGCGGCUUAUCAGCUUGUUGGUGGGGUAGUGGCUUACCAAGGCUUUGACGGGUAGCCGGCCUGAGAGGGUGACCGGCCACAUUGGGACUGAGAUACGGCCCAGACUCCUACGGGAGGCAGCAGUGGGGAAUAUUGCACAAUGGGCGGAAGCCUGAUGCAGCAACGCCGCGUGCGGGAUGACGGCCUUCGAGUUGUAAACCGCUUUCGCCUGUGACGAAGCGUGAGUGACGGUAAUGGGUAAAGAAGCACCGGCUAACUACGUG